UACGGGGGGAGCAAGCGUUGUUCGGAAUUACUGGGCGUAAAGGGCUCGUAGGCGGCCUUCUAAGUCGGACGUGAAAUCCCUCGGCUUAACCGAGGAACUGCGUCCGAUACUGAAAGGCUUGAAUCCGGGAGAGGGAUGUAGAAUUCCAGGUGUAGCGGUGAAAUGCGUAGAUAUCUGGAGGAACACCGGUGGCGAAGGCGGCAUCCUGGACCGGUAUUGACGCUGAGGCGCGAAAGCUAGGGGAGCAAACGGG
rnacentral:rRNA from 1 species